AUCAUUAUUCGGAUUUGUUACGAGGGUUUCUUAAAUUAAUUGUGAUUUUAAAAAAAGAAAAUUACCUUUUAAUAGAAGAAACGCCGCUUGAUUAUGGGAAAUAAGAGACGUCGCUUAUGGGACACGCUUCAAAGUCUGCUCCUCUCUCUCAUCUCUCCUCUCCUCUCAUCUCCUUCUUCGCCGGUGUAAAGUCUAAAGAAGAAGACCGACGAUUUGAAACGCAAGAGAAGCCUGACAUUCGUGGACGUUGAUCAUCAUCAGAACCAUUUGCCACAAGCCCAAACCAGACCAUCGAUUGAUGCCAAGACCUCUGAGUUUGCAUCUGGGUUUCUGGGCUUAAGCUCAAACCAAUCGUCAUUGUUUUAUUCUCACCAAUCGCCAUUGUUCAGGGUUUUGUUCUUCUGGUUGAACACUAUGAAGAAAGUUGAAAUUUUUAUUGUCUCUGCUCAUACACUGCUUUAUUUCUGGUGUCUGCUGAUCCACAAACGUGUCCUGCGGAGUCGGGAGCGAAGUGUAGCGGUUCUGGUGAUUGGGAAGGAGAGUUCUUCCCUGAGAUCCCUCACAUUAAGUAUGAGAGACUUAAGAGCAGUAACCCACUUUCUUACAAGUGGUAUAGCGCAGAAGAGGAGAUUCUUGGCAGUAACCCACUUGCUUACAAGUGGUAUAACCCACUUGGUUCAUCUCUUCUUCUUCUUUGGUGAUGUUUAUAGUGUGUCAAUGCUACUUGUAGCUUCCCCACUCCCAUUUUUAAUGCAAGACGUGGCUCACGUCUCAACUUGACUUGAAAGGAUAAAGGCAAUCUGCAGAAGAUGUCAGAGAUGAUGGAUUCAUUUGAGAACCAGUUUGUGAAUAUGGAGGUCCAAGCUGAGUUCAUGGAGAACGCCAUGGCUGGUUCAACAUCAUUGUCCACUCCCGAAGGCGAUGUCAACCACCUGAUGCAGCAGGUAACUGAUGACUAUGGUCUUGAAGUUUUUUUUUUUCUAAUCUUUGUUUUUAAGUUUUUUAUUUAAAUCUAUGUUUAAAAUGUUAUAUUUUAUAAUAUUUUAUUUAAUAAAUAAAUUUUAUUUUUAAUUAAACAAUGUUAACAUUUUUUUUUAAGAACCCCUAAAUAAGAGACUCCCAUUGGAACACAAAGAUUAUGGUGUCUCUAAAGUAGGUUUCUUAAAUAACUUUUAACACUUAAAAGUAUUAAAAAAAAAUUAAGAGACCCUAAAUGGAUUUUUGGGAUAAUGAUGCUCUUAUAUUCCUACUAACAUAUCUCAUAUUACACUAUUGAAUGUUGUAGAGCUUCGAUGUUUUGUAUGUGUUUUCCACAACGGAUUUACAGACACAGCUACUUGAUUUGUUGUUCAUGUGAUGCCGGAUAUUGAAGGGCCCAUCAUUUUGUCGUUAACGCUAUAAGUAAUGGUUUAGCAUUUGUUUGGGCCUUUGUUUUGAUAGCAGAAGAACGUGGACUUUAAGGUAUUUUAAAAAUGGCAGUGAGAGUGUGUAUUUGGUUGUUCUUGAUGCUAUCAGUAUCACACGUAGAAAAUUGUGAAAAUUUUAUUCAUGUGUUAGACUGGAUUAAUAAUUGAACGUAUGUUACAUGGGGAAGGAGAGAAUAUUGAUUUGGAAUAAACCAUGUUCAUAUACUGGUCAUACAAAUCUAUUUCUGAAAUAGUCUAAAACAGGGAUGAGAUCACCAACGUACUGUUCGGGAAUGUACUGUCUGCUAGUGGAGUAAAUAAACAUCGUAAAUAAGCUUCAAUAUCUCCAAGGAGUUCCACUUGUGCCACUGUGUUCUGGUAUUUAUGGAUUUUUCCACUAAAGGUUAUCCUUAGUCCCUUCAUUCUCAAAAGCAAAACAAAGGAAAUUCUAGUUUCCUGCCUUAUACUAAAAUAGAAAGAUAGGUCCUGGUUACCAAUUGUUGAACAUUUUCUUCUCUAAUUUCAGAAGGUAAGCUGCAUAUGCGUAGUUGAUUUCUUGAGCUAUGCAUGAAUGUAGUUAUCUAAACUUUAUGUUAGAUUCUGAUUGCCAUUUUAUGUCUCGCUCUAGUUUAGUUAUGAGAAGAUAUGCCAUGGGUUUGUAACUUUUUAAACAUCAAAUCGUAAGAACAUAUCGUUUGUUAAAAUUGGGGAUAAAUUAUCUAUAAUUUCAGUAUAUCAGAUUUUGCAUUUGGCUCAGUAUUAGUUGGUCUUCUCUCUCUCUCUAAAAACCCUCUGUCUUCUCUCUAGCACAUCUCAGAUCUGAAUCGUGUUUCCGGCUCUCCAAGCCACCGUCGGCCAGUUUUAGAUCUAAAUCUUAAAUCCAUUCGUUGAGCUUUUGGUUUUGGUUGGUGCUGAUUAAGGAGUCUUUGAACAUGCAUGGAUCUUUGUAUCUGGUGUUUUUGGACCUGGUUCUUCCCCACCGUUUGUUUGGUAAGAUAUCCGGUUCGUCUCGAAGGUUUUGGGGCUUUGGCUCCUUAUCAUCAGUUCGUCGAAGGCGUCAGGUUUACCGACCUCUUCCAUGAGUCUUCUUUGGAGAUGUCAAGUGCUCGUGGCUUCUUAAGUGGUAUGUUGUGGUGACGUUUGGAGCAUAAUAAAGAGUGUAGCCUUGAACUCCAUUAAUAAGUUUGUUCUUUGUUGACUUUAUCCUUCUUCUCUUUUUUGUCCCUUCCAGUUUUAACAUUGUUCAGUUAUUGUAUUGUUGGAUCUGUUCUGAGUUUGUUUCAUCCUAGCUCUAA